AUUGAACGCUGGCGGCAGGCCUAACACAUGCAAGUCGAGCGGCAGCGGGAAAGUAGCUUGCUACUUUUGCCGGCGAGCGGCGGACGGGUGAGUAAUGCCUGGGAAAUUGCCCAGUCGAGGGGGAUAACAGUUGGAAACGACUGCUAAUACCGCAUACGCCCUACGGGGGAAAGCAGGGGACCUUCGGGCCUUGCGCGAUUGGAUAGGCGCAGGUGUGGAUUAGCUAGUUGGUGAGGUAAUGGCUCACCAAGGCGACGAUCCCUAGCUGGUUUGGGAGGAUGAUCAGCCACACUGGAACUGAGACGCGGUCCGGACUCCUACGGGAGGCAGCAGUGGGGAAUAUUGCACAAUGGGGGAAACCCUGAUGCAGCCAUGCCGCGUGUGUGAAGAAGGCCUUCGGGUCGUAAAGCACUUUCAGCGAGGAGGAAAGGUUGAUGCCUAAUACGUAUCAACUGUGACGUUACUCGCAGAAGAAGCACCGGCUAACUCCGUGCCAGCCGCCGCGGUAACAC
rnacentral:rRNA from 1 species